AUUUAUAUAGUUUAAGAUAAAACAUUACAUUUUCAUUGUAAAAAUAAAAUUUAAAUUUUUAUAAAUA
rnacentral:tRNA from 1 species